ACGAACGCUGGCGGCGUGCUUCACCCAUGCCAGUCGCACGGAAAGGCCCUGCUUUUGUGGGGUGCUCGAGUGGCGAACGGGUGAGUAACACGUGAGUAACCUGCCCUUGACUUUGGGAUAACUUCAGGAAACUGGGGCUAAUACCGGAUAGGAGCUCCUGCUGCAUGGUGGGGGUUGGAAAGUUUCGGCGGUUGGGGAUGGACUCGCGGCUUAUCAGCUUGUUGGUGGGGUAGUGGCUUACCAAGGCUUUGACGGGUAGCCGGCCUGAGAGGGUGACCGGCCACAUUGGGACUGAGAUACGGCCCAGACUCCUACGGGAGGCAGCAGUGGGGAAUAUUGCACAAUGGGCGGAAGCCUGAUGCAGCAACGCCGCGUGCGGGAUGACGGCCUUCGGGUUGUAAACCGCUUUCGCCUGUGACGAAGCGUGAGUGACGGUAAUGGGUAAAGAAGCACCGGCUAACUACGUG
rnacentral:rRNA from 1 species